rnacentral:lncRNA from 1 species
CGCGCGUCAAAAGCAACUGAGAUUGCCCUGCUUAUUAAUUUUAGAAGCUGGAUGAGAGAGCAGAUAAUAUUCACACAAACUUCCAGAGACUUGUCAUUAUAAUACAAUAUAACAAAGUAAACAGCUUCUUUCUUCUACCCACCUGUCUCACCCUGAGUCCCCGCAGCGUGUGUUGUUGUGGCUUUGGUUUUUUCAAACUCGACGCGCGCGCUGCGUGCGCUCCGCUCCGCUCUCUUCUCAGCGACGCUCGACUAGCACUUCCGUGUUGGCGAGUCCCGACGUCACGCGGAAUGUGAAGCAGGAAACGCGGAUGUGUUGCGCUUAAUCUGCAUCUACAGGUAUUCGCAAACAACUCUCUUUCUUUCUUCACUUUAUUAAUUCUUAUCAACACAAGACACCGUAGCGCCAUUUUUGAUCAUGUGUUUUUAUAGCCGUCAGUUUAAGCUCUGAAGGGUUCUGAUCGGAUUCGCUUAAUUCGUAUUUGUGUGUGUGUGUGUGUGUGUGUGUGUGUGUGUGUGUGUGUGUGUGAUCCAGACGUGUUCCGAUCCAUAUGUCAAACCCAAACCCCCUUUCAAGCUGAUCUGAUCCAAACGCAGUGCAUCGGACGCGGGUCGGACGGAACCGAGUGGAGGAAUGCCUACCGAUGCUCUCAUGUUGGCAGUAAUGGGGAUUCAACAGGCACCAGUGGGAAGCAGGAUUUACACCCAGCUCUGGGGUGGCCCGCACUGGGUGAGCGCCCCCUGGUGGCUGUGGCUGCUUCUUCUCUGUUAUUAAAUAGCUUU